rnacentral:rRNA from 1 species
GUCCACGCCCUAAACGAUGUCAACUAGGUGUUGGGUGGGUAAAACCAUUUAGUACCGGAGCUAACGCGUGAAGUUGACCGCCUGGGGAGUACGGCCGCAAGGUUAAAACUCAAAGGAAUUGACGGGGACCCGCACAAGCGGUGGAUGAUGUGGAUUAAUUCGAUGCAACGCGAAAACCUUACCUACCCUUGACAUGUCCAGAAGCUCUUAGAGAUUUUGAGUGUGCCCGAAAGGGAACUGCAACACAGGUGCUGCAUGGCUGUCGU